rnacentral:rRNA from 1 species
UACGUAGGGUGCAGGCGUUAAUCGGAAUUACUGGGCGUAAAGCGUGCGCAGGCGGCUUCGCAAGUCAGACGUGAAAUCCCCGGGCUUAACCUGGGAAUGGCGUUUGAAACUACGGAGCUGGAGUAUGGCAGAGGGGGGUGGAAUUCCACGUGUAGCGGUGAAAUGCGUAGAUAUGUGGAGGAACACCGAUGGCGAAGGCAGCCCCCUGGGCCAAUACUGACGCUCAUGCACGAAAGCGUGGGGAGCAAACAGG